AUGUGUAAAGAGACCUGGAAUGAUCUCCAGCAUGUCUACAGCAAUCCAGUGGCCGUUAAGGACCCAUUUUAAGUUUUUGGCCUUUUUAAAUCCUGAGAUGUUUUCCUGGACCCCAAGCACAACAAUGACACAUAAAAUGUUGGGUAAAUGAAUUCUGGACUUUCCUCCGGAGUACAACAGCCCUAGAAAUGGAGGUGUGUUGACUGAAGAUCAAGUGCUCUCAUAGGCAAGAAGCAGGCCAUGGAAUGCACACUGUAAUACCACGCUGGUCUUGGUCUGAGAAAGUCACUGCCAGGAGAAACCCUGUAAUGGAUUUGGUGAAGCUCUGCGUUAAAGACUUGACGACUUGAUCAAAGUUCUACUAAAGCUGCUGCAAAACCACUUAAAGUCCUGAGCUCUGUUCAGCAUACUGAAUGUUAGACAUGUAAGAUGUAAAAUUUAUUCUUGAAACAGUCACUGGAGAUUAAACGGGUGCUUGAUGGGUUACUCUAAUCAUCAUAACCCCUUUUACCUGGAUCCUCACAGGAGUCCAGCCGCCUGUUGCGAGCUAUAGAAGCCAGAUGCUGGUUCUCGGCCAAUAAAUGACCCUCCUGUGCAUGAAUAUGUACAGAACUGAUAUUGGACAGCCUGGAACACUGCUGGCCAGUGUACAUAGACUCAAAUAACAGAAGUGGUUAUGGUGUUUGGAGUAAAGCUUUAAGUUGGUUACUUCGCAAAAAGUUGCAUUACUUGUAAAUGUAUUUUCUAACCUCAUUACUUGAAUUUAACAAAUGCGAGGGGCGUGCAAAAGUAUACUCUGAAUAAAGAAUUUGUGCCAACCC